rnacentral:rRNA from 1 species
GGGUUGUGAGGUUAAGCGACUAAGCGUACACGGUGGAUGCCCUGGCAGUCAGAGGCGAUGAAGGGCGUGCUAAUCUGCGAUAAGCGCCGGUAAGGUGAUAUGAACCGUUAUAACCGGCGAUACCCGAAUGGGGAAACCCAGUGUGAUUCGUCACACUAUCAUUAACUGAAUCCAUAGGUUAAUGAGGCGAACCGGGGGAACUGAAACAUCUAAGUACCCCGAGGAAAAGAAAUCAACCGAGAUUCCCCCAGUAGCGGCGAGCGAACGGGGAGGAGCCCAGAGCCUGAAUCAGCAUGUGUGUUAGUGGAAGCGUCUGGAAAGGCGCGCGAUACAGGGUGACAGCCCCGUACACAAAAGCGCAUGUGCUGUGAGCUCGAUGAGUAGGGCGGGACACGUGGUAUCCUGUCUGAAUAUGGGGGGACCAUCCUCCAAGGCUAAAUACUCCUGACUGACCGAUAGUGAACCAGUACCGUGAGGGAAAGGCGAAAAGAACCCCGGCGAGGGGAGUGAAAAAGAACCUGAAACCGUGUACGUACAAGCAGUGGGAGCNNNNNNNNNNNNNNNNNNNNNNGGGCGUUAAGUUGCAGGGUAUAGACCCGAAACCCGGUGAUCUAGCCAUGGGCAGGUUGAAGGUUGGGUAACACUAACUGGAGGACCGAACCGACUAAUGUUGAAAAAUUAGCGGAUGACCUGUGGCUGGGGGUGAAAGGCCAAUCAAACCGGGAGAUAGCUGGUUCUCCCCGAAAGCUAUUUAGGUAGCGCCUCGUGAAUUCAUCUCCGGGGGUAGAGCACUGUUUCGGCUAGGGGGCCAUCCCGGCUUACCAACCCGAUGCAAACUGCGAAUACCGGAGAAUGUUAUCACGGGAGACACACGGCGGGUGCUAACGUCCGUCGUGAAGAGGGAAACAACCCAGACCGCCAGCUAAGGUCCCAAAGUCAUGGUUAAGUGGGAAACGAUGUGGGAAGGCCCAGACAGCCAGGAUGUUGGCUUAGAAGCAGCCAUCAUUUAAAGAAAGCGUAAUAGCUCACUGGUCGAGUCGGCCUGCGCGGAAGAUGUAACGGGGCUAAACCAUGCACCGAAGCUGCGGCAGCGACACUGUGUGUUGUUGGGUAGGGGAGCGUUCUGUAAGCCUGCGAAGGUGGCCUGUGAGGGUUGCUGGAGGUAUCAGAAGUGCGAAUGCUGACAUAAGUAACGAUAAAGCGGGUGAAAAGCCCGCUCGCCGGAAGACCAAGGGUUCCUGUCCAACGUUAAUCGGGGCAGGGUGAGUCGACCCCUAAGGCGAGGCCGAAAGGCGUAGUCGAUGGGAAACGGGUUAAUAUUCCCGUACUUGGUGUUACUGCGAAGGGGGGACGGAGAAGGCUAUGUUGGCCGGGCGACGGUUGUCCCGGUUUAAGCGUGUAGGUGUGUGUUCCAGGUAAAUCCGGUUCACUUUAACACUGAGGCGUGACGACGAGGCACUACGGUGCUGAAGCAACAAAUGCCCUGCUUCCAGGAAAAGCCUCUAAGCAUCAGGUAACAUCAAAUCGUACCCCAAACCGACACAGGUGGUCAGGUAGAGAAUACCAAGGCGCUUGAGAGAACUCGGGUGAAGGAACUAGGCAAAAUGGUGCCGUAACUUCGGGAGAAGGCACGCUGACACGUAGGUGAAGUGAUUUACUCAUGGAGCUGAAGUCAGUCGAAGAUACCAGCUGGCUGCAACUGUUUAUUAAAAACACAGCACUGUGCAAACACGAAAGUGGACGUAUACGGUGUGACGCCUGCCCGGUGCCGGAAGGUUAAUUGAUGGGGUCAGCGCAAGCGAAGCUCCUGAUCGAAGCCCCGGUAAACGGCGGCCGUAACUAUAACGGUCCUAAGGUAGCGAAAUUCCUUGUCGGGUAAGUUCCGACCUGCACGAAUGGCGUAAUGAUGGCCAGGCUGUCUCCACCCGAGACUCAGUGAAAUUGAACUCGCUGUGAAGAUGCAGUGUACCCGCGGCAAGACGGAAAGACCCCGUGAACCUUUACUAUAGCUUGACACUGAACAUUGAGCCUUGAUGUGUAGGAUAGGUGGGAGGCUUUGAAGUGUGGACGCCAGUCUGCAUGGAGCCGACCUUGAAAUACCACCCUUUAAUGUUUGAUGUUCUAACGUGGACCCGUUACCCGGGUUGCGGACAGUGUCUGGUGGGUAGUUUGACUGGGGCGGUCUCCUCCUAAAGAGUAACGGAGGAGCACGAAGGUUGGCUAAUCCUGGUCGGACAUCAGGAGGUUAGUGCAAUGGCAUAAGCCAGCUUGACUGCGAGCGUGACGGCGCGAGCAGGUGCGAAAGCAGGUCAUAGUGAUCCGGUGGUUCUGAAUGGAAGGGCCAUCGCUCAACGGAUAAAAGGUACUCCGGGGAUAACAGGCUGAUACCGCCCAAGAGUUCAUAUCGACGGCGGUGUUUGGCACCUCGAUGUCGGCUCAUCACAUCCUGGGGCUGAAGUAGGUCCCAAGGGUAUGGCUGUUCGCCAUUUAAAGUGGUACGCGAGCUGGGUUUAGAACGUCGUGAGACAGUUCGGUCCCUAUCUGCCGUGGGCGCUGGAGAACUGAGGGGGGCUGCUCCUAGUACGAGAGGACCGGAGUGGACGCAUCACUGGUGUUCGGGUUGUCAUGCCAAUGGCACUGCCCGGUAGCUAAAUGCGGAAGAGAUAAGUGCUGAAAGCAUCUAAGCACGAAACUUGCCCCGAGAUGAGUUCUCCCUGAGACUUAGAGUCUCCUGAAGGAACGUUGAAGACGACGACGUUGAUAGGCCGGGUGUGUAAGCGCAGCGAUGCGUUGAGCUAACCGGUACUAAUGAACCGUGAGGCUUAACCUUACAACGCCGAAG